rfam:Hordeum vulgare subsp. vulgare, WGS project CAJW01000000 data, contig: morex_contig_1563518
GUAGUACUCCCUCCGUCCCAAAAUUCUUGUCUUAAAUUUAUUUAGAUAUGAAUCUAUCUAGCCAAGUUUUAGUAUUUAGAUACGUUCAUUUCUAGAUAAAGCUAAGACAAGAAUUAUGGGACGGAGGGAGUAGUAA